GGGUUGUGAGGUUAAGCGACUAAGCGUACACGGUGGAUGCCCUGGCAGUCAGAGGCGAUGAAGGACGUGCUAAUCUGCGAUAAGCGUCGGUAAGGUGAUAUGAACCGUUAUAACCGGCGAUUUCCGAAUGGGGAAACCCAGUGUGUUUCGACACACUAUCAUUAACUGAAUCCAUAGGUUAAUGAGGCGAACCGGGGGAACUGAAACAUCUAAGUACCCCGAGGAAAAGAAAUCAACCGAGAUUCCCCCAGUAGCGGCGAGCGAACGGGGAGCAGCCCAGAGCCUGAAUCAGUGUGUGUGUUAGUGGAAGCGUCUGGAAAGGCGCGCGAUACAGGGUGACAGCCCCGUACACAAAAAUGCACAUGCUGUGAGCUCGAUGAGUAGGGCGGGACACGUGGUAUCCUGUCUGAAUAUGGGGGGACCAUCCUCCAAGGCUAAAUACUCCUGACUGACCGAUAGUGAACCAGUACCGUGAGGGAAAGGCGAAAAGAACCCCGGCGAGGGGAGUGAAAAAGAACCUGAAACCGUGUACGUACAAGCAGUGGGAGCACGCUUAGGCGUGUGACUGCGUACCUUUUGUAUAAUGGGUCAGCGACUUAUAUUCUGUAGCAAGGUUAACCGAAUAGGGGAGCCGAAGGGAAACCGAGUCUUAACUGGGCGUUAAGUUGCAGGGUAUAGACCCGAAACCCGGUGAUCUAGCCAUGGGCAGGUUGAAGGUUGGGUAACACUAACUGGAGGACCGAACCGACUAAUGUUGAAAAAUUAGCGGAUGACUUGUGGCUGGGGGUGAAAGGCCAAUCAAACCGGGAGAUAGCUGGUUCUCCCCGAAAGCUAUUUAGGUAGCGCCUCGUGAAUUCAUCUCCGGGGGUAGAGCACUGUUUCGGCAAGGGGGUCAUCCCGACUUACCAACCCGAUGCAAACUGCGAAUACCGGAGAAUGUUAUCACGGGAGACACACGGCGGGUGCUAACGUCCGUCGUGAAGAGGGAAACAACCCAGACCGCCAGCUAAGGUCCCAAAGUCAUGGUUAAGUGGGAAACGAUGUGGGAAGGCCCAGACAGCCAGGAUGUUGGCUUAGAAGCAGCCAUCAUUUAAAGAAAGCGUAAUAGCUCACUGGUCGAGUCGGCCUGCGCGGAAGAUGUAACGGGGCUAAACCAUGCACCGAAGCUGCGGCAGCGACGCUUAUGCGUUGUUGGGUAGGGGAGCGUUCUGUAAGCCUGCGAAGGUGUGCUGUGAGGCAUGCUGGAGGUAUCAGAAGUGCGAAUGCUGACAUAAGUAACGAUAAAGCGGGUGAAAAGCCCGCUCGCCGGAAGACCAAGGGUUCCUGUCCAACGUUAAUCGGGGCAGGGUGAGUCGACCCCUAAGGCGAGGCCGAAAGGCGUAGUCGAUGGGAAACAGGUUAAUAUUCCUGUACUUGGUGUUACUGCGAAGGGGGGACGGAGAAGGCUAUGUUGGCCGGGCGACGGUUGUCCCGGUUUAAGCGUGUAGGCUGGUUUUCCAGGCAAAUCCGGAAAAUCAAGGCUGAGGCGUGAUGACGAGGCACUACGGUGCUGAAGCAACAAAUGCCCUGCUUCCAGGAAAAGCCUCUAAGCAUCAGGUAACAUCAAAUCGUACCCCAAACCGACACAGGUGGUCAGGUAGAGAAUACCAAGGCGCUUGAGAGAACUCGGGUGAAGGAACUAGGCAAAAUGGUGCCGUAACUUCGGGAGAAGGCACGCUGAUACGUAGGUGAAGUCCCUCGCGGAUGGAGCUGAAAUCAGUCGAAGAUACCAGCUGGCUGCAACUGUUUAUUAAAAACACAGCACUGUGCAAACACGAAAGUGGACGUAUACGGUGUGACGCCUGCCCGGUGCCGGAAGGUUAAUUGAUGGGGUCAGCGCAAGCGAAGCUCUUGAUCGAAGCCCCGGUAAACGGCGGCCGUAACUAUAACGGUCCUAAGGUAGCGAAAUUCCUUGUCGGGUAAGUUCCGACCUGCACGAAUGGCGUAAUGAUGGCCAGGCUGUCUCCACCCGAGACUCAGUGAAAUUGAACUCGCUGUGAAGAUGCAGUGUACCCGCGGCAAGACGGAAAGACCCCGUGAACCUUUACUAUAGCUUGACACUGAACAUUGAGCCUUGAUGUGUAGGAUAGGUGGGAGGCUUUGAAGUGUGGACGCCAGUCUGCAUGGAGCCGACCUUGAAAUACCACCCUUUAAUGUUUGAUGUUCUAACGUUGACCCGUGAUCCGGGUUGCGGACAGUGUCUGGUGGGUAGUUUGACUGGGGCGGUCUCCUCCUAAAGAGUAACGGAGGAGCACGAAGGUUGGCUAAUCCUGGUCGGACAUCAGGAGGUUAGUGCAAUGGCAUAAGCCAGCUUGACUGCGAGCGUGACGGCGCGAGCAGGUGCGAAAGCAGGUCAUAGUGAUCCGGUGGUUCUGAAUGGAAGGGCCAUCGCUCAACGGAUAAAAGGUACUCCGGGGAUAACAGGCUGAUACCGCCCAAGAGUUCAUAUCGACGGCGGUGUUUGGCACCUCGAUGUCGGCUCAUCACAUCCUGGGGCUGAAGUAGGUCCCAAGGGUAUGGCUGUUCGCCAUUUAAAGUGGUACGCGAGCUGGGUUUAGAACGUCGUGAGACAGUUCGGUCCCUAUCUGCCGUGGGCGCUGGAGAACUGAGGGGGGCUGCUCCUAGUACGAGAGGACCGGAGUGGACGCAUCACUGGUGUUCGGGUUGUCAUGCCAAUGGCACUGCCCGGUAGCUAAAUGCGGAAGAGAUAAGUGCUGAAAGCAUCUAAGCACGAAACUUGCCCCGAGAUGAGUUCUCCCUGACCCUUUAAGGGUCCUGAAGGAACGUUGAAGACGACGACGUUGAUAGGCCGGGUGUGUAAGCGCAGCGAUGCGUUGAGCUAACCGGUACUAAUGAACCGUGAGGCUUAACCUUACAACGCCGAAGCUGUU
rnacentral:rRNA from 1 species